CAGUCGCCGCGGUAACACGGAGGGUGCAAGCGUUAUCCGGAUUUAUUGGGUUUAAAGGGUCCGUAGGCGGAUCUGUAAGUCAGUGGUGAAAUCUCACAGCUUAACUGUGAAACUGCCAUUGAUACUGCAGGUCUUGAGUAAAUUUGAAGUGGCUGGAAUAAGUAGUGUAGCGGUGAAAUGCAUAGAUAUUACUUAGAACACCAAUUGCGAAGGCAGGUCACUAAGAUUUAACUGACGCUGAUGGACGAAAGCGUGGGGAGCGAACAGGAUUAGAUACCCCCGUAGUCCCUGUCUCUUAUAC
rnacentral:rRNA from 1 species